CCGCUGCCGGUGCCCCGGACCAAGACGCUCCGGUGGCGCCGGUCCUGUAAACACAGCGCCGAAGAGGCCGCUUCUCGGGCGUGCUUCGAGCGCCGCGCGGCCGGGAGGCGGUGGCCGCUGCUAUGGUGACGGUGGAAGGCGGCCGCUCCCCCGGAGAAGGCCCCGCCCGCCGCGGCCGAGCCCAGUGCGAGCGGUGAGAUGGCGGCCUCCCUGGGGCGCGCGGUGGCCGGACUUCUUACCAGAUUACAGACUUCAGCUACCACUUCACGAACUCUAUUACUAUCCAGUUCCUGUUCUCAAAACAUUCCAAGCUGUUUGUGGAAACUGGGCCGACUUAAUCAUGUAGCGAUUGCAGUACCUGAUUUGGAGAAAGCUCAAUCCUUGUAUAAAGAUGUGUUAGGAGCACAGGUGAGCGAGACUGUUGCUCUUCCCGAACAUGGUGUCUACACUGUUUUUGUGGAGUUGGGAAAUACCAAGCUGGAACUUCUACAUCCUUUAGGAGAGGAGAGCCCCAUUGCAAGCUUUCUGCAAAAAAACAAGACUGGAGGAAUGCAUCAUAUCUGCAUUGAGUUGAUAAUUGUAUACAGAAGUCAAAAAAGAUUGACAGUUGUACUUACCAAACAGCAGUAAAGUCGCCAGAGUUCCUUCUGUCCUGUUCUUCCUUGUCCAUCAAAGAGAGAUUGGUCUGGGAGUACACAAGAUGUAAAGGUGCUGGUUGAUGACAUAAAAGCGGCUAUGACAGAACUGAAGAAAAAAAAGAUACGAAUAUUGAGUGAAGAGCCAAAAAUAGGUGCACAUGGCAAACCUGUGAUUUUUCUUCACCCUAAAGAUUGCCAUGGAGUCCUUGUGGAACUUGAGCAAGCUUGAGCUGUAAUACUCAUAAAUAAAACAAUAGAUUAGUUGUGAAUUUA